GAACGAACGCUGGCGGCGCGCCUAAUACAUGCAAGUCGAGCGAGAAGGUGUAGCAAUACACUUGUAAAGCGGCGAACGGGUGAGGAAUACAUGGGUAACCUACCCUCGAGUGGGGGAAUAACUAGCCGAAAGGUUAGCUAAUACCGCAUACGAUUCCAGGACUUCGGUGCUGGAAGGAAAGCACUACCGUGGGUAGUGCGCUCCUGGAUGGGCUCAUGUCCUAUCAGCCUUGUUGGUGAGGUAAUGGCUCACCAAGGCUUCGACGGGUAGCUGGUCUGAGAGGACGAUCAGCCACACUGGCACUGCGACACGGGCCAG
rnacentral:rRNA from 1 species